rnacentral:rRNA from 1 species
UACGUAGGGGGCUAGCGUUGUCCGGAAUCAUUGGGCGUAAAGCGCGUGUAGGCGGUUCGGUAAGUCCGCUGUGAAAGUCGGGGGCUCAACCCUCGAAAGCCGGUGGAUACUGUCGGGCUAGAGUACGGAAGAGGCGAGUGGAAUUCUUGGUGUAGCGGUGAAAUGCGUAGAUAUCAAGAGGAACACCUGCGGCGAAGGCGGGUUGCUGGGCCGACACUGACGCUGAGGCGCGAAAGCUAGGGGAGCAAACAGG